rnacentral:rRNA from 1 species
UGAAACUAGAUAUGACUUAGUGGCGGACGGGUGAGUAACACGUGAGCAACCUGCCUUUCAGAGGGGGACAACAGUUGGAAACGACUGCUAAUACCGCAUGAUGCAUAGGGGUCGCAUGAUCUUUAUGCCAAAGAUUUAUCGCUUCAAGAUGGCCUCGCGUCUUAUUAGCUAGUUGGCGGGGUAACGGCCCACCAAGGCGACGAUCAGUAGCCGGACUGAGAGGUUGAACGGCCACAUUGGGACUGAGAUACGGCCCAGACUCC